ensembl:lncRNA
CGCCGCGCACCGCUCUCGCCGCGAGGUGGCGCGCUGCCGCCCGCCCCGAGGUGGGCCGGGCGCGGUGCUGCUGCUCGGGUUGUGGGCUCAGUUGGGCGGGCGGGGUUGUGAGGUGUUCAGCCGGCCUGAGGGAGAAAGGGGGAUUUCCCAAGUUAACGCGCUUUUUAAGUGUGGAAGCACAGAAGUGAAGGGGCGUCACGAGGCGGUGUGAAGAGCUUGUGGAAGGGUUGAUCCAAAUCUCACUGUAUCCCUCUCCAAGAUGAUCGGGCCCAGUGCUGGCAGGACCUGCAGCAGACUGGGGGAUUGCAGCAUACAUAUGUGAGGACUUCCUGCACCAGGGGCACCCCAGGGGAGUGCAGAGACCCACUGGGAGCUGGCGGUUCUGGUGAGAAGAACUGAGAAGACUCCAGUGGGGCCAGGAGCAGUGGCCAUCGUUCUCUGCGUGUGCAGAAGACAGCCCCAGGGACUGUGGCGAUCGGCACAUAGCGGGUCUGAUAGAGCCAAACAACUUUUAUCUAAUUCUGCUCAUUCAAGCUGGAUCACAGAAGGCUUUAACAAGGAGACUGCAAAACAUUAAAAGGGACUUUACAUCUCUUGGAAGGAUGUAGAAGAGAUUGGGAGUGUAAGUAGUGUUGUCUUCUGUCCUUCUGAUGGAGGCUGGCACCUGGGAAGGAGGAGAACAGGACAAGCGAAUGAUUGGCUGUGUGGAUGGUGCUAUACAUGGGGCUGUGGCUUCCAUGAUCUUCGACAGGCCUUUGAGGUGCUGAGCAUGUUGACUUCAAAUGAGACACAACUGACUGGGUGGGACAAGAAUGUUCUGGGAAACAAGCUGUCUGGGCUGAUCAGCAGAACUUAAAACUAGAUUCGAUGGGGAAAGGAGGUGGAUUUCAAAAUGACAAAGGAAGACUGGCGAACGCUGUCACUUUAGAAGGCAGUGGAGAUGGACUUCAGAUUUGUCCCCAAGGAACUCAGGAGGGCUCCCUGAAGAAGCUAAUACUGCUGAUUGUCUGGAUGAUGUGCCUCUAUACCAGUGCCAGCAGCAUGGGAAAUAAUCAGGAGGAGCUGGAAGACAUGGCACAACGGAAAAACUUACCUAGUUGCUAUCAAGGAAAUGUGGAAUGAAUUGCACAGCUGGAGCACAGUGAUCAAGGCCUGCAAGCUUUUUAGGAGAAAUACAGGGGGAUGGAGGGGCAGGGGAGUUGCUCUCUGCGUUAAGAAGUGGAUAGAUUGAAAAGAGCUGCCUUUGAAAAACAGCCAUGAUCAGAUGGAGAGCUCGUGGGCAACAGCAGGAACUGGUCCAUUGAAGGCCAUCUGGUGAUUGGGGUCUACUACAGGUUGCCCCAUCAAGGGGAGCUUGAGCACAAGGCCUUCUUGCUACAAAAGGCUCUCAUCCUGAUGGGAGAUUUCAACCACUCAGAUGUCUGCUGGGGAAACAACAUGAUGGGCUGCAAGUGAUUCAGGAGACUCCUGAAGUGCAUGGAUGAAUAUCAGGGACUGGUCCAACAAAGGACAUCUGAUGUUAAGGGGUCUACUACAGGCUGUGUGAUCAAGGGUAGCCUGUGGAUAAGGCCUUCUUGCUUCAGAUACAGGAAGCAUUGUAUUCACAGGCUUUCAUCCUCAUGGGGAAUUUCAGCCAUCCAGAUGUCUGCUGGGAAAGAAGCACAGUGGGUUGCAGACAAUCCAGGAGACUCUUGAAGUGUGUUGAUGAUAACUUCCUGGUCCGGGUAUUAUACAAAUUGACCUGAGGGGAAGCGUUAAAAGAUCUGUUGCUCACCAGUGUAGAGGAGAUCAUUGAGGAGGUUAAGAUAGAAGGCAGUCUGGGCUAUAUUGACCAUGCCUUGGUUGAAUUUGUGAUCUUGAGGAAUAUGGGCCUGGAGAAAAGCAAACUCAGGGCCUGAACUUGAGGAGAGAGAACUUCUGGCAGUUUAAGGAAUUAUUAGAUGAGAUCCCUUGGAAAGCUGUUGGAGUAGAGCUGGCAGCUCUUUUAAGGACACGUUUUUGAAAUCACAAGAACUCAGUAUAGGAAAACAAAAAGAGAAAGCAGGAGACUGGUAGGGCUGAGCAAGGACCUACUGGUCAAACUAAGGGAAAACAGGAACUCUCUCUUGAACUGUCUUUCUUGAACAGGGGUGCCAAAAUCUGCACACAGUACUGCAGAAUUGGCCUCACCAGAGCAGAGUAGAGGGGGAGGAUCACCUCCCUUGACCUGCUCACCACACUCUUUUUAAAGCACCCCAGGAUACCGUUAGCCUUCUGUGUCACAAGGGCACACUGCUGGACUAUGAUCAAGCUGCUGUUCACCAGUACACUCACAUCCUUCUCUGCAGAGUUCCUUUCUAUCAGAUCAGCCCCUAAUCUGUACUAGUGUGUAGAGUUAUUUCUCCCCAUGUGUAGGACUCUACACUUGCCCUUGUUGAACCUCAUAAGGUUCCUUUCUGCACAACUGUCCAGCCUGUCCAGGUCUCACAGAAUAGCAACACAGCCUUCUGGUGUGUCAGCCACUCCUAGCUUUGUAUCACCAGCAAACUUGCUGAGGGUGCACUUUAUCCCUUCAUCUAUGUCCCUUAUGAAGAUGUUAAACAAGACCAGAUGCAGUUCUGACUCCCGGGGAACACUGUUAGCUACAGGUUUCCAACUAAGACUCUGUCACUGAUCACAACUCUCUGAGCUGUACCAGUAAGCCAGUUCUCAAUCCACCUCACUGUCCAUUCAUCUGUCCCACAGUUCCUAAGCUUACCUAUGAGGAUGUAGUGGAAGACAGCAUCAAAAGCCUCGAUGAUGUCAAAGUUGACAACAUCCGGUGUUCUCUGCUCAUCUAUCCAGCUGGUCAUGGCAUCAUAUAAGGCUACCAGACUGAUCAAGCAUAAUUUCCCCUUGGAGAAUCCAUGCUCACUACUCCCGAUGACUUUCUUCUCUUCCACUUAGAAAGGCUUGGAUUCCAUGCUUGAAGAUGACAUCCAGAGUAAGUUUUCCAACCUACAAGAUUCCAUGAUUCUGUUUCUUCAUGCUUGGACUAUGUUGCCAUCUGGGAUUUUCUGGUAAUUGCCAAGAAGUUGGGAAGGUUCCAUAGCACUGCGUUUUCAAAUUUGUCCUCGGUGAACUGUCUCAUAUGCAGUGAAUUUCAUGCAACAUCCAGUAUAACAUUAGGAACUCUUCUUUAGGACUGCUACAUGGAUAGCUAAAGUGGAACAACAACCUAUAUGGCACAUGAAAUGCCAGAGUUUGUGGAGGUGCUACAGAAGAGCACAGAGGAUUAAAGUAUCUUGUUGACACUGAUGAAAAAAUAGAGGCAAAAGGCUGGACAUGUUCAUAUUGUGAGCUAACAGCUUUCUUCCAGUCAUAUAGUGAACUCCCUUAUUUUGAGACAUCCUGACAUAUGAUUUUGAUCCCUAGGUCUACUCUGAGGCAGGGGAAAGAAAUUAUAGAAGUCACUUAAGAUAUGAAGGGAAGUGGAUUAGGGAUGGAAUGGUACAAAGCAGGGGAUAGAGAUCAGAUAUAUCUCAGACAGAAGAGACUUGCCUGUUUUAAGUCUGCUGCUGCUAGCAUCGUGUGUUGAAUGAGACUCAGCAAUAGCCAGUUGCAUCUUAGAUUUCGUCCAAGUAACAAUCUAGAGUAGCUUUUGAGUGAGGAGAGAUGAAGGGAUGAGAACAUAUAGGGAUAUGUCUGCUGGAAACUGAAAACUUGAUUCAGAAAUUCACUAUUUAAAAAUGGAAUGUUGUUUUAAAUUAGAAUUAUUUUUUAUUUGCGUGGUUGUAAAUUGUUCACAGUGCAAGCGGGGUCCUCUUCCUGGGAGUUGUAAGCCUAUUAAAAGAAGUGCAGGCUCUGCUAUUUCAGCUGCCUCUUGAGGAUCCCUUAGCAGUUUAAUUGUCCUCCUGUCCAAAAGCCCAUUUCCCAGCUUGAAGGUCCCUGAUGGCCAUCAGUCAAACCAGAAGACGUCGAUGACACUUGUAGGCAAGAAAAAAGUUUAGUUACAUGCCAUGUGCACUCUGUCCGGUAGGGGGAGAUGUUGCCAAACGGCAGGAGUAUUCAAACUGGAGGAAACUGGGUUUCAUGGACGAAAACAAUGAAUGCUCCAAGGAUCACCGAGGAGACGGCUCGCUGUGGUUUUGGGAUAGCCAAGAACAACUGAGCAGAGAGCGGCAUUUCUGGGAAGAGGCAUCAGGUGCCCAUGGAUUUCAGUUCAAUCAUGAUAGUAAACUGAUCCAUAGAGGCUUGCAGAAAAUUUCAGAAUUGUCAUUUGAGGAAGUGAGGAAAGAAGGGAGCUGUCUAAACUACAACAGAUACGAAGAGCUUGAUUCUCAAGAUAAUUCCUCUUCACUUGAUGAAUCCCAGGCAAGCCAAAAGGUUGGACAACCAAGAUAUGUCACCACAUGGACCUUCCCCACGUCACUCUCCAUCUACACCUCUGAACAUGAGAGGGGAGUGUAUCCCAUUUAGGCCACCUUCACUGGACCUGAAGUAAGGUGAGAGAGUCUGUGGGCUCUUCAUGCCCCUGCCAGAAACGUGCCUUCUAACUGGUCUCUUGAUGCCUCACCUGCAGCUGAGGCACCUGCCGCUGAGCACCUGGAGAUGCAUUCCGGCCAAGAGACUGAACACCCAAAACUAUCCAUUAGCAUUUUCCAUGAAGAGAUAAGCUCUGCUCUCUGUUGGAGUUUCACUGUAGUAGCUAGGGGUUUGGGAGACCUGGCUUUGUUUCUGGCUCUGUCAUUCAUCUUCUGCAUGGCCUUGGCAAGUCCUUUCUCUUUUCUGUGCCUGCCUUUGCCCACAUACUCCUCUUCUGAACUAAUGGCGGUACUGUGGCUGUUUGAAUCUGUGUUGUGUGAGUAAAUAAACAGUAACUGUAGAAAGGUUUGAUUUUUUUAAAAAGAUGCUGCUUGGCAAGAUCUAACGUUAACCGAAGAUGGAAAAGGUGUGGUAUCUUGAAGUUUUUCCACCUCUACUCUCUGCUUACCUUCAGUGGAAAGUUGAUUUUCAUCAGCUGAGGAACAGAAACGAGUCCCAGCCUGCUAGCACAACCACAGUGUUAGUUAGGAAUAGUCUGAAACACAUGCAGGGAGUGAAAAUAAACCCCAGCUUAUCUGUACACUGACUUUAGACAAUAAGAGUAGCUGUGGACCAGACAUCUACUGAAAGGUGUCCUGGAGCAGAAGGCAAAGUUUCCCUUCUAAACAGCUUACUUUUGCCAUCCAGGUCCUGGAAACACUCAGCUAUUUGUAAGCAUAGAAUUUUCUCUGCAAAACACUGAUGCUUUGGGGUAGGCUGAGUACUCUGCAUUGAAAUCCAGGAUACAAUGCAGUCAGUGGGUGGCCCCAGACAACUUUGAAUGGGCUUUGGAAUAGGGCCCAAGCAUAUCACAAAGAAAGGGAGAAGGAAGCUUUGCUUUAGCCAAAUCUCUGAGCAUGUGCUUCACCACUGAAAUUAGUAAGAAUUAAGCAUAUACUUAAGUAUUCUGCUGACACUUACCUUAACCACCGAGUAACAAAUACUGUCUUGCAGAGACUCUGCUUAAAAGAGAAAAAUGCCUUUUACGUGUCAAAGAGGGACAUAACAUUUAAAAUGGCAUUUCAAAUUUCUUUUAUUUUUUAGUGACAUAGCAAAAGCAGUAUUUGGCCCUGUGCUGCUUGGAACGAGGACAUUUCAAAUUAUUACCAACUGCAGCUUCUCUCUGCAUCAUUUUGCAUUAUGCAGUUUAAUGGCUGCCUGCUAGAAAGGCAUCUUCUCUGCUUCAGUCAUCUAACAGGAUUUUUGGCAUCCAGCUCAUCAGAUGGGUUAUUUUCUUUAACCAUAUUCCUGUAGGACUGCAUCUUUUAAGCAUCCUGCUGCGUUAUUUUGGCACAACCUUUAUAUCUCUUCAUCUUAUUGUUUCUGGAAUUCCUUUUCUCUUUGUAUCAAGUGAUGUUGCUGUGUGUGCUUUUUCUAACAAAUCUUGGUGGAAGAUCAGAAAAACAAACAAACAAAAAAGGCUAAUGUAUCCUAAGGAUUGAUAAUUUCAGGGUCAAAAGAGAUUUUAAGUGCUGAUCUUCUUGCACCCGCUGAUGAAUCUUUCCGACCAAGAAGCUGGUGUAUCGUAUCUAGCUGGCAGCACACAGAACACAUUAGGAAAACAAAGAGAAUGUGAGAUUAAGCCGAAAACAGGCAAGAGAGGCAUUUUCUCACUGUUCUGCAUGAAGGCAGAAGAUGCUUCAAGAGGAUACAACCUCGGUUUUCUUGUUGGAACUAUGGCCUCUUCCCCCCAUCAGAUUAUUCAAAGGCAACAUCACUGAAGUCAAGUGAGAACAGGACACUGCUGAAGUAAUUACGAAGAAUUUGCCUACUCCAUCUUGACCGUCUGAGGGCAGUGUCACCUAAUAAUUGCUAAAGGAGAUAUGCCUGGUCACUGCAUACUGUCUGCACUGCAUUCACCCUCUGAAGAUGCCAUCCAAAACUCAGAGAUAUCAAAGAGAGCCUUUUCACAGAUCUUACCUGCAUCUUGGACUUUGGUAUAUUGGGCUCACUCUUCUGGGCCACAGUGCUUACUGAUAUAAACCUUUACUGGCACUGAAUCCAGUUUGAGAUAUAGAUCUGAAACAAGAUGCGACCAUGAAAGACCUCUCACACAAGUCCAGUGUAGGUUUCUACAAAAUGAGGUUGAAAGUAAAUGAUCUUUAUAUUCCCGUCCAACCUAAACUGUUUCAUGACCCUGUAAAAUGCUUUUUGCAUGAAGCUAUUUAUGCCUGGCUAGAACAUGACUGACAUGACUAUCCAGUUGUGUUCUAAGGACUUCAAGAGAUAAAGAACCUACAGCAGACUGGUAAGCUGUUCCAUGGGCAAUCAAGCUCCCUGUCAAGAACAUCCACCUUGCCCUAGGUAUGUUAAGCAGUUAUUCCACCUGGAACUGUUCUGCCUGGAGAACAGAAGGUUGAGAAGAGAUCACAUCACUGUUUAUAACUAUCUGAAGUGUGGGAGUGAAGUCGAGGAAGAAUGACUCUUUUCAGUGGUGCACUGUGAAAGAGCAAAGGGCAACAAGUGAAGACUGGGACACAGAAAGCUCCAUACAAACACAAGGAAAAGCUUCUUUACUGUGAGAAUGACAGAGCACUGGAACAGGCUGCUCAGGGAGACUGUGGACUCUCCUUCGCUGAAGAUGUUCAGAACCUGCCUGGACACUUCCCUGUGCCACCCUACAGGAGAGAACCUGCUUUAGCAGGGGGUGAGACUAGAUCAUCUCCAGAGGUUCUUUUCAGUCCCCACAGUUCUGCGAUUCUGUGAUUCUGUGAUAAGCUCCUCUUUAAACUGUAGUAGGAACCAUUGUGAUAUGAGUUCUGGUGGGAAAUGUCAUAACAAGUUGAUUUUGAGGAUACAAAAAAAAAAAAAAAAAAAAAAAAAGAAAAGAAGAGAAAAAGGAAUGAAAAAGAAAAAUCUCUUGAUUCUUCUCUAGGAGCAAAGGUACUUUGCAGCAAAGAUCUUGAUUUGUAUCAAAAAUUAGGAAAAGGGAAAAAGAUAGAUUUGGCAGAGAGCUGUUAAGAGCUCAAAAGCAAUGAUGGUUAGCACAGUAACCCCAGUGUGGUAGUGCUGAUCAUUCUGAACCUGUUAUCAACUUGAAGCAUUAAAUGUAAAAGAUUUUCCAGAUGACUAGUGUUGGGGAAGCUGGACAUUGUCAGAAGUACAGUGGUAAAUACAGAUGGGUGGAAACAUUCAGAUACAAACAAUUAAUCAUCAGUCCCUCAGAUAAGCGCUAGUCUUCAGGCACUGGUAACUAGCACUGAGCAGUCAGGUCAAUCCCAAACCCACUGGAGAACAAUUUUGGAAAUAUAGAAAGCUGGAAAUUUGGUGUCUGGUGAGUGGGAAGUUGGCUCAACUCCUUCUCCUCUUUCAUGCAUUUUUAAAAAUCAUGUGAAAACGCUUGCAAUAAUGAACCAAGAUCAGAAACAUCUGGUUUCAGCAGAAGUGAGGGAGUUGUGCCACUUUGUCCAGAACAGUUACUAAACUACAACUCAUCCUGCAAGUCCCCUUUAAAAUCCACUGGAUUUCCCCCCUGCUAUAGAUUCCUCUCUGGGGAGCCUUCCAGCCACUGCUCAUUUUGGCAUGCAGUUCUCCUGUCUGCUCACUUUCCCUGUCCAGUCUUUCUUCUCUCCGGCCCAAGCCACCUACAAGCUCCUGUGAGGAAAGGGCUAACUGCUCAGCCCUGCCCUGCAUGGAAAGAGCUUGCUGGAAGCUGUUCUCCUGAAAGACAGGCACCUAUUGCUUUGUCUCUGCCAGACCUGUAAACACCAGACUGAACACUUUCUCGGGAUGUAUCAGAAGCAACAAACUGACUGUGUGACAGAAACACCCAGGGCCCUGUUUUGAUCUCUGGAGGAGAGCAGGGACCCUUGGAACACAAACAGAGGCCUCGAGGCAGCCCAGGGAUGUGCCUGUCCAGCACCAGGAGCUCUGUGCGUGGGAAUGCAGGGAGGAUUGUGGAGGACUGGUGUAAUUAUAAGAAUUGAUGGGUCUGCGGAGCAUUUUUUGGAAAUUGUACAUGAACUGCUGCAGAUUUUAAUCAGGGUGUCUCUCUUCCUCUCAUUUACCUUCCUCAUGGAGGAGAGGUCUCCUGGCCAUGAUUAAACUUCAGUAAAGCUUUGUAAACCUGCCCUUUGGGUCAUGUUUCUUCCUCAGUCACAGCAAGUCCCCUGUCCCUUUUAAAAAACUCAGAUUGUACUGGUUUUUCUUGCUUAGUUUUCCACAUUCUACUGUGUUCAUCUUUUCUCUGCCUUCUCUAACAUCAGUUCUCUCAUGACAGAACCUCUUCUCUCUGUGUGUGUUUAUGGCCCUAUAUCUUCUUCACUUUUGGCUGGAGGGAUGAAGAGCUGCCUGCUGCUUGGACAAAGCAAAAAUUGAAGCUGUUCUCCUUGGGCUUCAUGGCUACUUAGGGCUCUGACUUACAUGAGCUUCAGCCACUUAGAAAAAGCACUACUUUCAGACUGAAAGCUCAGAAACUGAAGAGUUUUUAACCUCAUUACCUUGAGUAAUGAUCCACACCAGUCAUAAAAAAGGAGAAAGCUGGAGAAAACCUGAGGUGGUGAUAUCCUUAAAGCAGAUGAUUUUAUUUUUUGAAGAAAGAAAAUAAAAAAUGAUGAUGAAACAUUUUCCUGAAGAACAAAUCGAAACACUUCGUGCAGUGUUACCUGUUCACAGAAUAGGAUUUGUGUACCAAGAUGAAUCACUGCACUCUUGAGACUGGAUGACGUUUUUCUUGCAGAUUUUCAUAUUGCCUGGAAGAGAAAGAGAAGAAGGUGGAAGCAUGUGAUGGGCAGAGGCCAUUGGCAUGAGAGAGAGCAGGCUGAGACUUCAUGCUGGAGAUGGACAAGACCAAAACAUUUCUCCUGUGUCAGCCAAAGAGAGUUUCAAACCUAAAGCUGUUUGCAGAAUGAAGCCGUGAGCUGGCCAGAUGGAAACAAGACUCCACUGCACGGUACAUGGAAAAAACAAGUUCAUCAUGUUCUGUCUUCACUCUGAGACAUUCUUGGCAACUUCAGCCACAUCCUGGAAAGAGUGGAGGAGAGGAAGAGCAGAGGGGAGCCAGCAGGCAAAUGGGGUUAUGGGGUUUGGUUUGUAAAGUGCUUAGGAAAGCUGUUCAGCUUCAAGGAAAAUAUCUGAUUGCUGAGACAGGGCGUACUGGAUAAUUAUUUUUUGAAUGUCCUCGCCAUUUUUCAGUAUUUUACCACUGUUUUCUUUCUGUAGAGUGCAGCAGCAGUCAUCCUUCCUGGGCAAUAGCAUAAUUGUUUCAGCUAGAACUGUUUUCUUCUUAUGUGGCAGGGAUGUCUACAUAAACAGUUAGGGCACAGAACUGCUUUUAUGACUGCUCUUAUGCCAGAAGGUGAAACACAAUAAACUGAAUUUUCGAUAUUGCAGGUCUUUGUUUUUAUUGUUGUUUUUACAUAUAGUCUCACCAAAAAUAGCUUUGGUUCAUUCGUCAUUUCCUUUUUUGGUUGACACACAGCAUUUAGCUAUUCAGUUCUCUGAUGUUCCAGCAAAUAGCCAGACAAUUUUUAAAAUAAAUGUUCCCUUAGAGUUGCAUAUUUUUCCUUCAUUUCUGGGUCUGGGAAAUAGAAAGAGACCUCAGAAACAGCUGAAGUUUAUUUUAGAAGCUGAAAUAUGUUUGGCAUUCUUUUCUCCUUGUACUACACUAUUGUUUUCUUCAUUUUGUUGUCUCAGAGUUGUUGUCAGAUGUGAUUUUUAAG